UACGUAGGGUGCAAGCGUUGUCCGGAAUUAUUGGGCGUAAAGAGCUCGUAGGCGGUGUGUCGCGUCGGCCGUGAAAACCUGCAGCUUAACUGUGGGCUUGCGGUCGAUACGGGCAUCACUGGAGUUCGGCAGGGGAGACUGGAAUUCCUGGUGUAGCGGUGAAAUGCGCAGAUAUCAGGAGGAACACCGGUGGCGAAGGCGGGUCUCUGGGCCGUAACUGACGCUGAGGAGCGAAAGCGUGGGGAGCGAACAGG
rnacentral:rRNA from 1 species